AGGGGAUCUUCGGACCUUUCGCUAUGAGAUGAGCCUGCGUUAGAUUAGCUAGUUGGUAGGGUAAAGGCCUACCAAGGCGACGAUCUAUAGCUGGUCUGAGAGGACGAUCAGCCACACUGGGACUGAGACACGGCCCAGACUCCUACGGGAGGCAGCAGUGGGGAAUAUUGGACAAUGGGCGAAAGCCUGAUCCAGCAAUACCGCGUGUGUGAAGAAGGCCUUAGGGUUGUAAAGCACUUUCAAUUGGGAGGAAAACCUGCUGGCCAAUACCCGGUAGCUUGACAUUACCUUUAGAAGAAGCACCGGCUAACCCCGUGCCAGCAGCCGCGGUAAUACGGAGGGCGCGAGCGUUAAUCGGAAUUACUGGGCGUAAAGCGUGCGUAGGCGGUUCGUUAAGUCAGAUGUGAAAGCCCUGGGCUCAACCUGGGAACUGCAUUUGAAACUGGCGGACUAGAGUUUAGUAGAGGGGAGUGGAAUUUCAGGUGUAGCGGUGAAAUGCGUAGAUAUCUGAAGGAACACCAGUGGCGAAGGCGACUCCCUGGACUAGAACUGACGCUGAGGUACGAGAGCGUGGGUAGCAAACAGGAUUAGAUACCCUGGUAGUCCACGCCGUAAACGAUGUCGACUAGC
rnacentral:rRNA from 1 species